rnacentral:rRNA from 1 species
CGGACGGGUGAGUAAUGCUUGGGAAUCUGGCUUAUGGAGGGGGAUAACUGUGGGAAACUGCAGCUAAUACCGCGUAUUCCCUGAGGAGGAAAGGGUGGGACCUUAGGGCCACCUGCCAUAAGAUGAGCCCAAGUGGGAUUGGGUAGUUGGUGGGGUAAAGGCCUACCAAGCCUGCGAUCUCUAGCUGGUCUGAGAGGAUGACCAGCCACACUGGAACUGAGACACGGUCCAGACUCCUACGGGAGGCAGCAGUGGGGAAUAUUGCGCAAUGGGGGGAACCCUGACGCAGCCAUGCCGCGUGAAUGAAGAAGGCCUUCGGGUUGUAAAGUUCUUUCGGUAAUGAGGAAGGGAUGUUGUUAAAUAGAUAGCAUCAUUGACGUUAAUUACAGAAGAAGCACCGGCUAACUCCGUGCCAGCAGCCGCGGUAAUACGGAGGGUGCGAGCGUUAAUCGGAAUAACUGGGCGUAAAGGGCACGCAGGCGGACUUUUAAGUGAGAUGUGAAAUCCCCGAGCUUAACUUGGGAACUGCAUUUCAGACUGGGAGUCUAGAGUACUUUAGGGAGGGGUAGAAUUCCACGUGUAGCGGUGAAAUGCGUAGAGAUGUGGAGGAAUACCGAAGGCGAAGGCAGCCCCUUGGGAAUGUACUGACGCUCAUGUGCGAAAGCGUGGGGAGCAAACAGGAUUAGAUACCCUGGUAGUCCACGCU